rnacentral:rRNA from 1 species
GAUGAACGCUGGCGGCGUGCCUAAUACAUGCAAGUCGAGCGAACGGACGAGGAGCUUGCUUCUCUGACGUUAGCGGCGGACGGGUGAGUAACACGUGGAUAACCUACCUAUAAGACUGGGAUAACUUCGGGAAACCGGAGCUAAUACCGGAUAAUAUUUUGAACCGCAUGGUUCAAUAGUGAAAGACGGUCUUGCUGUCACUUAUAGAUGGAUCCGCGCGGCAUUAGCUAGUUGGUAAGGUAACGGCUUACCAAGGCAACGAUGCGUAGCCGACCUGAGAGGAGGAGGGGCAGCAAGGGAACAGAGACACGGUGGGGAAGAGUAAGGGAGGAAGAAGUGGGGAAUGGUAGGAAAGGGGAGAAUGGCAGAAUGAGCAACAGCGCGUGAGUGAUGAAGGGCGUGGGAUAGGAAAAAUUUGGUAUUAGAGAAGAACAAAGGUGGGAGUAAAGAUGCACGUGUUGACGGUACCUAAUGAAGAAGCAACGGCUAACUACGUG